UACGAAGGGGGCUAGCGUUGCUCGGAAUCACUGGGCGUAAAGCGCACGUAGGCGGCUUCUUAAGUCAGGGGUGAAAUCCUGGAGCUCAACUCCAGAACUGCCUUUGAUACUGGGAGGCUCGAGUCCGGGAGAGGUGAGUGGAACUGCGAGUGUAGAGGUGAAAUUCGUAGAUAUUCGCAAGAACACCAGUGGCGAAGGCGGCUCACUGGCCCGGUACUGACGCUGAGGUGCGAAAGCGUGGGUAGCAAACAGG
rnacentral:rRNA from 1 species